rnacentral:lncRNA from 1 species
CGAUUCGUUCAGAACAAAAUAUCAUUUCUAUCGACCUCUAUUCUCAAAUGGCGACCUCAACAUCGAAACUACAACGAUUCAAACUCGAAAAGUGCUAAAUGAUGUUCAAUCGAUUUUAUUAAUCCUUUCAGAAGAAAAUACAAGCCAAAAAAGUGGCUAAAACUCAAUUUAAACACUGAGAUGGACACAUGAACACUCCACAAACCACGGACCGGAACAACUGGCCGAUGGUAAACUCGAAACUCGCCGGAAAACUCCAACUAAACCAGGAAAACGAAGUCGACAAACUCCAAGACUGUGAAUGGUGAUUUGGAGGUUUUUUCAUUCUGCGUAUUGUGUGUGUUUGUGUAUUGUUCAGAAGUAAGCAAAGCUGUACAGCCUCGCUGAAAAUUCUUCCAGGCAUCUUUCUC